rnacentral:rRNA from 1 species
CGGGGGGAGCAAGCGUUGUUCGGAUUUACUGGGCGUAAAGGGCGCGUAGGCGGCGCAACAAGUCACUUGUGAAAUCUCCGGGCUUAACCCGGAGCGGCCAAGUGAUACUGUCGUGCUAGAGUGCGGAAGGGGCUACUGGAAUUCUCGGUGUAGCGGUGAAAUGCGUAGAUAUCGAGAGGAACACCUGCGGCGAAGGCGGGCAGCUGGGCCGACACUGACGCUGAGGCGCGAAAGCCAGGGGAGCGAACGGGAUUAGAUACCCCGGUAGUCCUGGCCUUAAACGAUGGAUACUUGGUGUCCGGGGUUACAUAGUCCCCGGGUGCCGGCGCUAACGCAUUAAGUAUCCCGCCUGGGGAGUACGGUCGCAAGACUG